rnacentral:misc_RNA from 1 species
CGUUGUUGAUUGUUGCCGAACGCCGAUCGGCCGCUCGCACCCCGAGAAGGGCGUCUUCCGGGACGUGCGCUCUGAUGAUCUGGCCGUUUCGGUGGUCCGCGCGCUUGUAGACCGCACCGGUAUCGAUCCGGCCGCCAUCGAAGACGUCGUCCUCGGCAACACGCAGCAGCAACGGGAGCAGGGUCUCAACGUGGCCCGCACUGUGGGGCUCAUGGCAGGCCUGCCGGUCGAAGCGGGCGGCGCCACGGUGAACCGGCUCUGUGGCAGCAGCCUGCAGGCCCGGGCCCAGGCGACCCACUCCAU